CCUACGGGAGGCAGCAGUGAGGAAUAUUGGUCAAUGGGCGCGAGCCUGAACCAGCCAAGUCGCGUGAGGGAAGACGGUCCUAUGGAUUGUAAACCUCUUUUGUCAGGGAGCAAAGGGCGCCACGUGUGGCGUUUUGCGAGUACCUGAAGAAACAGCAUCGGCUAACUCCGUGCCAGCAGCCGCGGUAAUACGGAGGAUGCGAGCGUUAUCCGGAUUUAUUGGGUUUAAAGGGUGCGCAGGCGGAAUGUGAAGUCAGCGGUAAAAUUUCGGGGCUCAACCCCGUCGUGCCGUUGAAACUGGCGUUCUUGAGUGAGCGAGAAGUAUGCGGAAUGCGUGGUGUAGCGGUGAAAUGCAUAGAUAUCACGCAGAACUCCGAUUGCGAAGGCAGCAUACCGGCGCUCAACUGACGCUCAUGCACGAAAGCGUGGGUAUCGAACAGGAUUAGAUACCCCAGUAGUC
rnacentral:rRNA from 1 species